rnacentral:lncRNA from 1 species
UUUUUUUUUUUUUUUUGUCACAUCUUGGCACUUUGAACUACCUCAAUAAGAUUGUAUGUCUGUGGUUAUUGCCAUUUAAAUACUUGAUAAUUUUUAUAAUUUUUAAAUUUAGUUUCUAAGACAUAUAGUAAGUGUAGUAUGGAAUUGCCAUAUAAUUAGUACUGUGCUUCUAAAUUAGACAAUUAAUAAUUGAUAUUUCAGGUUAUAUCCAGGUGUUAUUCUGAGAUGAAAUUGUGAGAUUUCAAUGUAUUUUUUCACCCAGAUCAUUAAAAAUCUGCUGGAGGAUUUUGUUCCGAGUCUGUUUUGGUUUUAUGCAGAACAUAUUAAAAACUGAAAAAAACUCCAUGCUCCCAAAGUCUCAACUUAAUCUCUGUAGUUCCACUCAUGAAGCGGCUGAAAUUCUACACUGUUAUAAUUUUGUGAAAAAGCAAGAAAUCAAAUCUAUCUGUAAUUUUAUUUUAUAAAGAAAGUACUAUUACAGUUUCUCUGAAAAUGUGCUUGUGGGUAUAUUUGAAAUGCGCUGGGAAUAUGAAUGCUUGAUGGCAUUAAGUGCAGACAAUGAAUCAUGGUGAUCAGAUAUUCUCUGUUAACAAACCAUAUCUUUUAAAAAGACUAAUUUUUGUAACUCAAAACAUCAGUCCCUUUUGUUUCAGAUUUUAAUGAAACAAUUCAGUUUUGGCACACAGCUGUAAUGGACAAAUGUCAGAGGAUGGAAGCAAGGGGCAGUGUGUUUCAGUAAAUCUAAAUAGAUUAAUUAUAUUCAAAUUCAAUUUUAAUGUCAUUCCUGUUGUUUUCAAGUCUAGCCAGAGUCCUUUAGAGAUGUUUGUUGGUGUUUUUUUCAGCACAGGCUGGGAAGAUGAGUGUGUCCCAGUUUGCUUGAUACCUGCUGCUGUCCUGUGCUGUUGCAGUUAGGUCAGCUGGACUUCACAGUUCUUUUGACUCCUGCUGUUUUUCAGUGCUAAUUUUAAGCAGUUUAUUAACUGAGGGUGAAUGUCUCAUGGCUCAAUGUAUUCCUGUGAGCCUUUGAUAAUUGGAAUAAUCACUUAUUUCCACUUGCACUCAUCUAAGCUACUUAAGUAGAUAGUACAGUAGGUUGAGGCAAUGAAUGAUUUCUUCUUUCCAGCCGUAUGUCGGUCACGCAAAAUAACUGCAAAUCAGAGCUAGACAGUGUGCCAAUUAGUACUUCCAAAAUGUGUCUCUCCCACAGAAGUUAUUUAUGCACACUGCUAAUUAGCCACUGAGGUUUUUUGUUCACUGGAGGAGAAAGGAUCCACAUGCAUGGCACUGCAGGAAUCCUGAAGCAUGGGCAAGGAUAUCUGUGUCCAAGGCCCCAGGCCUCCUGCUUCUCAGCAGGACAUUCUGACUUUCAGUAAUAAUUUACAUUUUAAGAUAAAAUACUGCCCCAGGUGUUUGUGGCUUGUAAUUUCAGACCUUACAUGAAGAAGGGCACGAGGGACUUUAGGCAGGAUCAAUAUGAAUAAAAGUCCAGGAAAAUGUACUGCCUUCUCCCACUUUCAUCACUCAGAAUUUUCUUAUAGUGCUGAGGAGCCUUGGAAAAUGUCUAUAUUUAGAACUUUCCAAAAUAGCAAUUGACUCUUACUUUUGUUUCUUUUGUUUCAUUUCUUAAGUAUAAUUUAUUUAUUUUUUUGUUUCAGAUACUUCACCCAGGAAAACAUGUGCUUCUUCUAUCUUGUCUAACCAAGCCUUCUCAUUUUCACCACUUACACAUAAACACCCCAUAUAGAAAUAAUGUAACGGAGACAUAUCUCUGCUCAGAGGUAUAGCACUUGUUUCAAAUAAACAGCAAGUUGGUGAGAAAUGGGUGAGAGAUGUAACAGUACAAUGCAGUCAACCAUAACUGGGGAAAAAUAUAGAGGCUAAUUGAGGAGUAAGACAGAGAGCAACCGUGUUGGAGAAGUUGUUGUAAUCAAGCUGACCUGCGUAGGAUGUGAGGACGUUGAAAGCAUGAGGAGCAAAAGGAAAGUUGUUAUUGAAUCAGUUAUAGGUAAUUUAAUGAUUAUUUUAGGUAGACCUAAGAUUUCAACCUGUUAUUGAACUUCUGCUCCCUUUCCCCUUCCAGUUAUUCUCUCCUUUUUUGCAUGUGACUGUGGUGUCAGUCUCACCUUAAACAUGUUUUUUUUGUUUUAGUUAGUUGCUGCUCUUUGUGAUGUCAGUUUAGGAGCAAUGUCUACCGAGUGCCCUCACCUCAAAGAUCUUCAGUUAUGCUCUAUACUACUUGUGUUCUUUCUGAGCCCAUAAAUCUCCCCUUCUACAGUGACCCAGCAUCAUUAGGAUGAGCAGUAAGUACUCUGCUCAUCCUUCUGCUCUCCGUGGUCCUCUGCCAUUGCAGGGGCCUCUUGGAAGGACCUUAGAGGUAAAUUACUUUGGCCAUGCAACUGAGGAGGGGAUGAAAACAAUAUUGUUUAAAAAAAAAUACCCCCUAAGUGCCUGCCUUCCCCUUCUGCUUCUGUUUUGCGCCAAGAGUGAGAGGCUUCUACCUUUCUCUCCAAGAUCUGAUGCCAUGCCCUGGGGUGCCCUAAUAGGUGCAAAUGUUACAGUCCUGAGUCAGCAGCAUAAAGAUAAUAUGUGUAUUUAUAUACUAAUAUAGGAAGCUACAGCUUUAUGGAAACUUCAUAGUAUGUUUAAGGGAUAAUGAUUUAUUAGCCACUGUCAGGAAAAUCUCUAUAAGCAGGAUGGAAAAAUUGCAGGAGUUAUGAAGUAGAUGAGGCAAUAGAGGAGAAAAAGAAAGCACUCAAUCUCACAAGUGCAUAUUUUAUUCCAAAUGUUGGAGGCAGAGAAAUUAUGGUCAGGAUAAAUUAAAGCAUUCACAUAAUAGAGUGAAACUCAGAAUGUAAUCUAAACUUUAUUGAAUGAACAAAACCAAGAAAUUCACAUUUCUACUCCUAGGAGAAGAAGUAUUGCAUUUAAAUAGCUGUACAAGUUAACUUUGAAAAGCCUACAGUUUAAUAUCUGAUUGUUUGCAGUAAUGCUCCUCUGCAUUCACUGACCAAUGUGGAAAAUUUUAAAUAUGAAUUAUUAUUUGUAUGAAACCUUUUAAGAGAAGAUGUAAGUAAAGGUAAACGAUAGUCACUCAUUUAUCACUGGCCAUAGUAGAAAGUGGCAGCCAGAAGCUUAUUCAUUUUGAUAUUAAAAAAAUGCUGUCACACUGUCAAAUAUGCCAAAGCAAUGCUUUCUGGAUAAUUUUUCAUGUCUGUUUUCCUCUUCACAGAAACAGCACAAAUUGAACAGGUUAACUUUUAAAUAAAUUUCAAGUUUCAUGGAACUGCAAUUAUGUGGUAAAAGCUGUAGCUUUAUCAGACAGUCAGCAGUAGAGAAUGCAAUAGAAAUGGCUAGCUGUUUCAAAUAGUCAACAUUUUUUAGGCUGUCCAGUCAGCCACGUUCUUAAGAAAAUCUCCUGAGCUCUUAAAAGAGCAGUGAAAAUAUUAUUUUAUUAUUUUUAUGUGAAGCAAAAUAUGCUGAGAUACUAACAAAUUUGUAAUAUGCAAUAACUACAAUAGGCUAUUUAUUAGAAAAAUAGUUAAGAAUUGCUUUUGCUGUGAAGGAAAUGCAUUAUACACAGCAGUGGUGCUGAAGCUGUACGCUUCUCAAAUUAGGUUUACACUUUCAGAUUAGAAAAAUGAAUAGAAAAUGUGUUGGGAUAUGUGGCAUUUUCCUUGGGAGCUUUAUGGCUUAUUUGCAUAAACUACAAAAUAAUCAAACAAACCUGAGGCUGGCUUUUAAAAUACUCACCAAAAAUAAUAUACUCUAUUCUUGUGUAAUUUUAACGAAAACUUUAAUUGACCUCACAGU